UCUUUCUGGGUGAGUCUCUAAGAGUGAUUACAGCUGUGAGUCUUUCUGGGUCUCUAAGAGUGAUUACAGCUGUGAGUCUUUCUGGGUCUCUAAGAGUGAUUACAGCUGUGAGUCUUUCUGGGUAAGUCUCUAAGAGUGAUUACAGCUGUGAGUCUUUCUGGGUAAGUCUCUAAGAGUGAUUACAGCUGUGAGUCUUUCUGGGUAAGUCUCUAAGAGCGAUUACAGCUGUGAGUCUUUCUGGGUGAGUCCCUAAGAGCGAUUACAGCUGUGAGUCUUUCUGGGUGAGUCUCUAAGAGCUUUCCACACCUGGAUUGUACAACAUUUGCCCAUUUUAUGAUUUUCUAAAUUCUUCAAGCUCUGUCCAGUUGGUUGUUGAUCAUUGCUAAGACAGCGAUUUUCAGGUUUUGCCAUAGAUUUUAAAGUAAAUUUAAGACAAAACUGUAACUCGGCCACUCAGGAACAUUCACUGUCUUCUUGGUAAGCAACUUCAGUGUAUAUUUGGCCUUGUGUUUUAGGUUAUUGUCCUGAUGAAAGGUGAAUUCAUCUCAGUGUCUGGUGGAAAGCAGACUGAACCAGGUUUUCCUCUAGGAUAUUGCCUGUGCUUAGCUCCAUUCCGUUUAUUUUUUUAUCCUGAAAAACUCCCCAGUCCUUAUAGAUUACAAGCAUACCCAUAACAUGGUGCAGCCACCACUAUGCUUGGAAAUAUGGAGAGUGGUACUCAGUAAUGUGUUUGUAUGGGAUUGGCCCCAAACAUAACAUUUUGUGUUCAGGACAAAAAGUUAAUUGCUUUGCCACAUUACUUGCAGUAUUACUUUAGUGACUCGUUGGAAACAGGAUGCGUCUUUUGGAAUAUUUUAUGUUCUCUCAAGGCUUCCUUUUCACUCUGUCAUUUAGGUUAGUAUUGUGGAGUAACUCCAAUGUUGUUGAUCCAUCCUCAGUUGUCUCCUAUCACAGCCAUUAAACUCUGUCAUUUAGGUUAGUAUUGUGGAGUAACUACAAUGUUGUUGAUCCAUCCUCAGUUGUCUCCUAUCACAGCCAUUAAACUCUGUCAUUUAGGUUAGUAUUGUGGAGUAACUCCAAUGUUGUUGAUCCAUCCUCAGUGUUCUCCUAUCACAGCCAUUAAACUCUGUAACUGUUUUUAAGUCAUCAUUGGCCUCCUGGUGAAAUCCCUGAGCAGUUUCCUUCCUCUCCAAUAUUCAAUGUUGGGGUGGCAGGGUAGCCUAGUGGUUAGAGUGGAGGGGAGGUAGGGUAGCCUAGUGGUUAGAGUGGAGGGGAGGUAGGGUAGCCUAGUGGUUAGAGUGGAGGGGAGGUAGGGUAGCCUAGUGGUUAGAGUGGAGGGGAGGUAGGGUAGCCUAGUGGUUAGAGUGGAGGGGAGGUAGGGUAGCCUAGUGGUUAGAGUGGAGGGGAGGUAGGGUAGCCUAGUGGUUAGAGUGGAGGGGAGGUAGGGUAGCCUAGUGGUUAGAGUGGAGGGGAGGUAGGGUAGCCUAGUGGUUAGAGUGGAGGGGAGGUAGGGUAGCCUAGUGGUUAGUGUAGAGGAGGCAGGGUAGCCUAGUGGUUAGAGUGGAGGGGCGGCAGGGUAGCCUAGUGGUUAGAGUGUAGAGUUGGUAGGGUAGCCUAGUGGUUAGAGUGGAGGGGCGGCAGGGUAGCCUAGUGGUUAGAGUGUAGAGGCGGCAGGGUAGCCUAGUGGUUAGAGUGGAGGGGAGGUAGGGUAGCCUAGUGGUUAGAGUGGAGGGGAGGUAGGGUAGCCUAGUGGUUAGAGUGGAGGGGAGGUAGGGUAGCCUAGUGGUUAGAGUGGAGGGGAGGUAGGGUAGCCUAGUGGUUAGAGUGGAGGGGAGGUAGGGUAGCCUAGUGGUUAGAGUGGAGGGGAGGUAGGGUAGCCUAGUGGUUAGUGUAGAGGAGGCAGGGUAGCCUAGUGGUUAGAGUGGAGGGGCGGCAGGGUAGCCUAGUGGUUAGAGUGUAGAGUUGGUAGGGUAGCCUAGUGGUUAGAGUGGAGGGGCGGCAGGGUAGCCUAGUGGUUAGAGUGUAGAGGCGGCAGGGUAGCCUAGUGGUUAGAGUGGAGAGGCGGCAGGGUAGCCUAGUGGUUAGAGUGGAGGGGCGGCAGGGUAGCCUAGUGGUUAGAGUGGAGGGGCGGCAGGGUAGCCUAGUGGUUAGAGUGUAGAGUUGGUAGGGUAGCCUAGUGGUUAGAGUGGAGGGGCGGCAGGGUAGCCUAGUGGUUAGAGUGUAGAGGAGGCAGGUAGCCUAGUGGUUAGAGUGUAGAGGAGGCAGGGUAGCCUAGUGGUUAGAGUGUAGAGGAGGUAGGGUAGCCUAGUGGUUAGAGUGUAGAGGAGGUAGGGUAGCCUAGUGGUUAGAGUGUAGAGGAGGUAGGGUAGCCUAGUGGUUAGAGUGUAGAGGUGGCAGGGUAGCCUAGUGGUUAGAGUGUAGAGGUGGCAGGGUAGCCUAGUGGUUAGAGUGUAGAGGAGGUAGGGUAGCCUAGUGGUUAGAGUGGAGGGGCGGCAGGGUAGCCUAGUGGUUAGAGUGGAGAGGCGGCAGGGUAGCCUAGUGGUUAGAGUGUAGAGGUGGCAGGUAGCCUAGUGGUUAGAGUGGAGGGGCGGCAGGGUAGCCUAGUGGUUAGAGUGUAGAGGAGGCAGGUAGCCUAGUGGUUAGAGUGUAGAGGAGGCUGGUAGCCUAGUGGUUAGAGUGUAGAGGAGGUAGGUAGCCUAGUGGUUAGAGUGUAGAGGAGGCAGGUAGCCUAGUGGUUAGAGUGUAGAGGAGGUAGGGUAGCCUAGUGGUUAGAGUGUAGAGGAGGUAGGGUAGCCUAGUGGUUAGAGUGUAGAGGUGGCAGGGUAGCCUAGUGGUUAGAGUGUAGAGGUGGCAGGGUAGCCUAGUGGUUAGAGUGUAGAGGAGGUAGGGUAGCCUAGUGGUUAGAGUGUAGAGGUGGCAGGGUAGCCUAGUGGUUAGAGUGUAGAGGUGGCAGGGUAGCCUAGUGGUUAGAGUGUAGAGGUGGCAGGGUAGCCUAGUGGUUAGAGUGUAGAGGUGGCAGGGUAGCCUAGUGGUUAGAGUGUAGAGGCGGCAGGGUAGCCUAGUGGUUAGAAUGGAGAGGCGGCAGGGUAGCCUGGUGGUUAGAGUGUAGAGGCGACAGGGUAGCCUAGUGGUUAGAGUGUUGGACUAGUAACCGGAAGGUUGCAAGUUCAUAUCCCCGAGCUGACAAGGUACAAAUCUGUCUUUCUGCCCCUGAACAAGACACUUUUCCCCAGUAGGCCGUCACUGAAAAUAAGAAUUUGUUCUUAACUGACCUGCCUUCUUAAAUAAAGGUACAAAAAAAAUCGUCUUUUUACAUGUUUGAUGAUGCACCAAUUUGUAAGUCGCUCUGGAUAAGAGCGUCUGCUAAAUGACUUAAAUGUAAAUGUAAAUGUUUACCCAUCUACCAAUCGGUGGCCUUCUUUGUGAGGCAGUGGAAAACCCUCCCUGGUUUUUGUGGUUGAGUCUGUGUUUGAAAUUCACUGCUCGCAUGUAAUUGUAUGUGUUUGGGUACAGAGAUGAGGUAGUCAUUCAUGUGACUUGUUAAGCACAUUUUUACUCCUGAACUUUAACCUCUAUUGGAGCGGUGACCGGUAAAAUUAAUAACUAGAAAACAAACGUUUUUUAUCUUUGUAUUAUCUUUUACCAGAUCUAAUGUGUUAUAUUCUCCUACAUUCCUUUCACAUUUCCACAAACGUCAAAGUGUUUCCUUUCAAAUGGUACCAAAAAUAUGCAUAUCCUUGCUUCAGGUCCUGAGCUACAGGCAGUUAGAUUUGGGUAUGUCAUUUUAGGGGCAAACAUUUUUUUUUUUAAAGGGUGUCUUGUCCUUAAGAGGUUUUAAGCUUUUCAUAACUAAGGGGUUGAAUACUUCUCGACUCAAGACAUUUCAGUUUUUUAUUUGUAAAUUAAUUUGUUCAAUUUUUGUUGUUAAAACCAUAUUUCCUUUUUGAUAUUAUGAGGUAUUGUGGGUAGGCCAGUAAUACAUUUUAAAAUCAGGCUGUAACACAACAAAAUGUGGAAAAAGUCAAGGUAAUAACCUUGUGGUAAUGUUGUAGUGAAGGUGUUACUCUAACCUCCUUCAACACCUGUAAUUCAACCUCCUC